AGCGACCAAUAGGAGCUUGCUCCUGUUGGUUAGCGGCGGACGGGUGAGUAACACGUGGGCAACCUGCCUGUAAGACUGGGAUAACACCGGGAAACCGGUGCUAAUACCGGAUAAUCCUUUUCCUCUCAUGAGGAAAAGCUGAAAGUCGGUUCGGCUGACACUUACAGAUGGGCCCGCGGCGCAUUAGCUAGUUGGUGAGGUAACGGCUCACCAAGGCGACGAUGCGUAGCCGACCUGAGAGGGUGGUCGGCCACACUGGGACUGAGACACGGCCCAGACUCCUACGGGAGGCAGCAGUAGGGAAUCUUCCACAAUGGACGAAAGUCUGAUGGAGCAACGCCGCGUGAGCGAUGAAGGCCUUCGGGUCGUAAAGCUCUGUUGUUAGGGAAGAACAAGUACCGGAGUAACUGCCGGUACCUUGACGGUACCUAACCAGAAAGCCACGGCUAACUACGUGCCAGCAGCCGCGGUAAUACGUAGGUGGCAAGCGUUGUCCGGAAUUAUUGGGCGUAAAGCGCGCGCAGGCGGUCCUUUAAGUCUGAUGUGAAAGCCCACGGCUCAACCGUGGAGGGUCAUUGGAAACUGGGGGACUUGAGUGCAGAAGAGGAAAGCGGAAUUCCACGUGUAGCGGUGAAAUGCGUAAAGAUGUGGAGGAACACCAGUGGCGAAGGCGGUUUUCUGGUCUGUAACUGACGCUGAGGCGCGAAAGCGUGGGGAGCAAACAGGAUAAAUACCCUGGUA
rnacentral:rRNA from 1 species